rnacentral:rRNA from 1 species
UACGUAGGGAGCAAGCGUUGUCCGGAAUCAUUGGGCGUAAAGCGCGCGUAGGUGGCCAUGUAAGUCCGCUGUGAAAGUCAAAGGCUCAACCUUUGAAAGCCGGUGGAUACUGCAUGGCUAGAGUACGGAAGAGGCGAGUGGAAUUCCUGGUGUAGCGGUGGAAUGCGCAGAUAUCAGGAGGAACACCAAUGGCGAAGGCAGCUCACUGGGACGGUACUGACGCUGAGACGCGAAAGCGUGGGGAGCAAACAGG